AGGUGGGUGACACAGCAGGCCCACGCGCUGUGGCUUCAUCGUUGCCGUAAUCCGACCCGUUGUAACAGUGGCGCACGAAACAGGAGCGUGUUUCUGCAACGUGCGCACGCUCGCGCCCCCGCUCAUAAGACGGCGCUGCUGUGCACCGGCAGGCACAUGCUGGACUGCUUCUCAGCUUCUAAAAAAAGGACACCACAAAGGCACGCACACACACGAAGCUCGCUGGAACUCUGUUCCGCGUUUAACCUUCACCCCCCCCCUCGCUUCUGUUGACCACCGAGGACGCUUCGACACACCCUAAGCACAUUGGCGUUUGGCGAGAUGAUGCGACGAGGAGCCCCCGAGUGGUUCACACAGGGCAAAGCGCGUGAACGGUUUCACCGGUACUGGCCGUGGGCUCUCAGCUCCAUCUGCGCCGGCCUUUAUCUCUACAACGGCGAGCCCUUCGAAGACGCCGCCGGUGCCAUCGUGACAAAGAUUCGGCGACCACUGCUCAAGACGAUGGAGUGGGUGGAGCUGCACGAUGUGGAUCCAGAGACGAUGUCGUUGGAGCUGCCGCCGGACAUGCUCUUUGGCCCGCUUGAGUUCCCGAAGCAGAUGCGAUUCCUUCUAGCGGCACUCAGGGCCGACAACGAGCUCGCCGACGGCUACCUGGCGCGAGUGAUCAUUGAUCGCAUGGAUUUGUCCUUGGACCCUCCAAUUCUGUCGGAGGGCGACUUCCUCGCAGCAGGCGGCAAGGAGCUUCUCGACUUUAGCGUGGAGGACUUCACCGGCACUAAAAGCCGCGCCCAACGCAAGCACAUCUUCUUUCAGCCCGACCAGUUCCUUCAAUUUAUCAACGUCAUUGCCGCCUAUCCGUCACUGACAGAGUACUUUGUGAACGAGAAGGACGGCGUGGAGCUGGUCUUUCAGGCUUAUCGACAUAGCAAGAACCCCUACGCCCGAGUGAUGGCGAUGCGGUCGCUGACCUUGUUCUCAUUCACUCAAGCCGUCGACGGCACGGUGGAGCGGCGCAUCUUGCAAAGCAACGGUGUGAAGACUAUUGUGGACGCGUACAAGCAGAGCACCGGUGACCCGACCGAGACGCGCUUCCCCACGCUGCUUCUCUCCUCCAUCAUGCGCCACUACCCUAAGGAGGGCGGCAAGGAGUUCAUCGACGCUGACGGCGUCGAGGCAGUUGUGAACAAUCUUAACAUCUGCCGUUACAAGGGCAUUCCGCAGCACAUCCGCGUGCUGCACGACGCCCAGCGCCUCCCCAAGCAGUCGAUCGGCAAAAAGUCGGUGGAUGCGCGACUGGAGGAGGCAGACUUCUUGGGCGUUGCGAUGGGCCUGUUAGACAGCUUUCCUGAGUUUUACGAGGCAACAGGCGACCUUCUGAAGCUGAUGACGAGUGUGGUACCGGCGCACGCCGACCCGCUAGAGCUGCUCGAGUACCGUGCCAUGCCAAUCCUCUCCAAGUACUAUGUGAGGUGGCGCGAGGACCAGAGCUUUCAGACGGACGGCACUCGAACACUGGUGGCGAAGCUGUUCGAGCUGAUGCUGAAUGACAAGACGUGCCAGCGGUGCUACGAUCCGUCUGUGGCGUCGUAUGAGCUGCUCGAGUGCCUCAGGACCGCCAAGUUGGCCGUCCAGGAUGAGCGAGAGAAGCGAGUGACGCGAUUUCCAGAUCCGCAACGGCAACCGGCGAGCGCCGCUGCCUAGCACAUGUCCUUUCCAGACAUGCAUGCAGGCACGUUGGCCGGCGCGUGCGCGUUUCUCGAUGGGGCAAAAGAAAGCAUGGAAAGACGGCCUCAUCGCCAGCACAUGCCGCUCAUAACAUCCGCGCAGUCAUACGCUCUUGUCAUCGCUUGACACUCCUCAAACUACCUUCACAGUCCCCCUCCCACCACAUCCAUCUAAAUAUCUCUGUAUAAGCGGCAGAUGCUGUGCGUUGGUGUAGCCUUCCCCACCCCCUCCCUCCUCCUCCACACUCAGCAGCGUCAUUCCGUGGAGCUGGGGAGGGUGACGCCCCACGAAGGAGUGGUGCAAAAAAAUCUGAAGCGAUCCUGGAAGCGCGGCAUCGUCCUUGUCG
rnacentral:misc_RNA from 1 species